UACGUAGGGUGCGAGCGUUGUCCGGAAUUAUUGGGCGUAAAGGGCUCGUAGGCGGUUUGUCGCGUCGGGAGUGAAAACCAUGGGCUUAACUCAUGGCUUGCUUUCGAUACGGGCAGACUAGAGGUAUGCAGGGGAGAACGGAAUUCCUGGUGUAGCGGUGAAAUGCGCAGAUAUCAGGAGGAACACCGAUGGCGAAGGCAGCUCGCUGGGACGGUACUGACGCUGAGGCGCGAAAGCGUGGGGAGCAAACAGG
rnacentral:rRNA from 1 species